GCUGCUUGAUAAUGUCAUCAAACAUGUUUCCAUCUUAUAUAGAAAGACAGUACGCAAAAUUAAAGUGUUUCCUUGAAACAGCUUUUGAUGCUAUGUUGCUUUUCUUCAUGGCAUAUCAUUAUUAAAAGUGGCUACGAAU
rnacentral:snoRNA from 1 species